CAAUAGCAUAUAUUAAAGUUGUUGCAGUUAAAAAGCUCGUAGUCGAACUUUGCUUGGUUUGCAGUUAGUUAUUGUUCGCUUUAUCAGUUGCUAACCAAGCUUUGCGUAUCACUUUCGUUCCGAACGUUGGUGAUCGGCCACUUUGAAUAUAUCAAAGUGUUCAAAGCAAGUUUUUGAUUGCUCAAGCAUGGAAUACAGAAUAAGCGCUUGCCUUUUCUAAGGUUCUACAGGCAUUUGCAAUGAUUGAGAGGAACGGUUGGGGGAAUACGCAUUUGACUGUUAGAGGUGAAAUUCUUGGAUCAGUCAAAGGCGAACUGAUGCGAAAGCGUUUUCCAAAAACGUUUUUAUUGA
rnacentral:rRNA from 1 species